rnacentral:rRNA from 1 species
UACGAAGGGGGCUAGCGUUGCUCGGAAUCACUGGGCGUAAAGCGCACGUAGGCGGCUUUCUAAGUCAGGGGUGAAAUCCUGGAGCUCAACUCCAGAACUGCCUUUGAUACUGGAGAGCUCGAGUCCGGAAGAGGUGAGUGGAACUCCGAGUGUAGAGGUGAAGUUCGUAGAUAUUCGGAAGAACACCAGUGGCGAAGGCGGCUCACUGGUCCGGUACUGACGCUGAUGUGCGAAAGCGUGGGGAGCAAACAGG